AUUCAUCUGAAGAGUCCUGAAUAAGACGAAAUGGACAUCCUAGAU
rnacentral:hammerhead_ribozyme from 1 species